rnacentral:rRNA from 1 species
CAGUAGCCACGGGAAUACGAAGGGGGCUAGCGUUGCUCGGAAUGACUGGGCGUAAAGGGCGCGUAGGCGGCGAUCAAAGUCAGGCGUGAAAUUCCUGGGCUCAACCUGGGGGCUGCGCUUGAUACUUGGUUGCUUGAGUGGGGAAGAGGGUCGUGGAAUUCCCAGUGUAGAGGUGAAAUUCGUAGAUAUUGGGAAGAACACCGGUGGCGAAGGCGGCGACCUGGUCCUUGACUGACGCUGAGGCGCGAAAGCGUGGGGAGCAAACAGGAUUAGAUACCCGAGUAGUCCCUGUCUCUUAUAC